AACCUAUGGUGAGGACAUUUCCGCAGGUGAUCCUUGAACCUAUCCCAUGACUCAAAAAAAGACUCCAAUUAUGUUUGCACAAAAGAGGAUAUUUUAUUCCUAAGCUU